rnacentral:rRNA from 1 species
UACUAGAGUAGCACUCGCAUAUCAAUAAGCGGAGGAAAAGAAACUAACAAGGAUUCCCCUAGUAUCGGCGAGUGAAGCGGGAAGAGCUCAAAUUUGAAAUCUUAAAGGGUUUCCCUUUACGAAUUGUAGUUUAAAGAAGUGUUUUCUGUUGAGGUUUUGGUAAAAGUUCUUUGGAAUAGGACAUCAUAGAGGGUGAGAAUCCCGUAUUUGACCUUUACUUUCAACUUUGUGAUACACUUUCAAAGAGUCGGAUUGUUUGGGAAUGCAGUCCAAAAUGGGUGGUAAAUUUCAUCUAAAGCUAAAUAUUGGCGAGAGACCGAUAGCGAACAAGUACCGUGAGGGAAAGAUGAAAGGAACUUUGAAAAGAGAGUUAAACAGUACGUGAAAUUGUCAAAAGGGAAGCGUUUGACACCAGUGUUGUUUUUCUGAAAAUCAGUUAAAGAACUGUUUAUGCUAAGUUGUUUAGACUUUAUCAGCUAACUGUUUAGUUUUGAGCUUUUCUUUAAUGCACUUUUCAGUUAACAAGUCAACAUCAAUUUCUUUUGCUGUAAAAAAGCUUGAGGAAGGUGGCUUGAGAUUCGUCUUAAGUGUUUAUAGCCUCUUGCCUAUGCAGUCGGAGAGAUUGAGGUCUGCAGCGUAGAUCCUUCGGGGCUAAAUGCAUUUGUGCUAAGUUAUAGCAUUUCAUAGACAACUUGUUGACUAUGAUUUGUCUUGUAGCUUACUCGCUUAUGUUAUUUUACCUACGCUUAGGAUGUUGAUAUCGCGCUCUCACUG